rnacentral:lncRNA from 10 species
GGCGAAAGAGCGAGACUCCGUCUCAAAAAGAAAAAAAGAAAAAAAGGAAAUACAACACUCACUCCACCCAGAAGACAUGUUCUCCAAAGUGAGCCUUCUAUGUCACUUGUCCCGAAAGAAAAGAAAAGAACAAGACUUCCUGAUUGAUAACUGAUCUGGGCCAGGAAUGCAGCAGCACUUGAUGUCUGAGGGAAGCGGUUUUUCAUUGAAGAGGGGAGGAAGACGAACGUGCCCCAAAGCAAGGGUGUGCUGCAGGUCUGGACUGGUGAGAACUGAGCCUGGGAGAGGAGACCAAGCAAAGGCUUAAUUUUCUGCUCUGUUUUCCCCAGUUUGCCCGGGGAUCAUCUUUAGCGCUGGCAGAUGGGAGGUUUUGUUCUUCAUUGCUCCUCCAUUAAAGUGCUGUCCCUGAGAUCCCUUAGAAAGAGUUUGUUUUAUUUGUUUUUUGGUCAGAGGUGCAUUCAGAAAAAGGCCCAGGCAACUCCCCAGAGGAAGUUCAUUCUUUAUUUUUAGUGGCUCAGGAGCCUGGAGAUGCAAUAUUAAUCUUCUUCCACUUCAGAGCUUGCUGAGAAAGGAUUUGGGGGCUUAAAGGGGAUGGCUUACUUGUCUUUUGGUUCAGCAUGAUAAUGGCCACAGACUCUGUGAAGGGACUCUGUCUGUUCUACAUGAGGUUUUGAACAGAUUACUUUUCUCAGCCAGCUUCCUGGGGAGAGACUCACUUUCAUUGAGAAGAUGCCCUGAGCUUUGUAGAAUAAAACAAUGCUUCAGGCCCGAUGAAAGAGACACCGUUCUGCAGAGGCCAGGGAAUGCUUUUCUUGAUGUUCUGGAGAGAGGCAAAGUGGAAGAGAGAAAGGAGAGGGAGGCUGGGGACUGGCAAGAGGCCCCACUGUGGGAGCUCAGAUCGUUAAUCAUAAUUCUCCCACACCCCUGCCAUGGCCCCAGACGUGGGGGAAGGGGAUGAGGUGUUUUCCUCUGACUUUAACUUUGGCUGUUUGACUUGUUUUGGUUACUGGGAUGUUAACAGAUAUCACAUGGGUAGAGGCUUGAAAGGCUCUUGGGUGGGGAUUUUGCUCUGUUGCACUCCUGACUUUUACCAUAGCAAGAACAUGCCUUGGGUAUUUGUAGGACCAGGGGCAAGAAGAAACACAUGGAACAGACCUAGGCCCAACCCACAGCUUGUGCCAAGUCCACCCAAGUCCAGACCAUUAGCCAAACCCCAGC